rnacentral:rRNA from 1 species
GAUGAACGCUGGCGGCGUGCCUAACACAUGCAAGUCGAGCGAACAGACGAGGAGCUUGCUCCUCUGACGUUAGCGGCGGACGGGUGAGUAACACGUGGAUAACCUACCUAUAAGACUGGGAUAACUUCGGGAAACCGGAGCUAAUACCGGAUAACAUGUUGAACCGCAUGGUUGAACAGUGAAAGACGGUCGUGCUGGCACUUAUAGAUGGAUCCGGGCUGCAUGAGCUAGUUGGUAAGGUAACGGCUUACCAAGGCUACGAUGCGUGGCCGACCUGAGAGGGGGGUCGCCGACCCUGGAAGUGGGACACGGUCAAGGGUCCUACGGAAGGCAGCAGUAGGGAAUGUUCCGCAAAGGGGGGAAGCCUGACGGAGCGACGCGGCGUGAGUGAUGAAGGUCUUCGGAGCGUAAAACCGUGUUAUUAGGGAAGAACCAAUGUGUAAGUAACUAUGCACGUCUUGACGGUACCUAGUCAAGAAGCCACGGCUAACUACGUG